GCGGAUGGCUGGAUGAUCGCGGGUGGUAACACACGAGGAAAGUCCGGGCUCCAUGAAGACAGGGUGCCGGGUAAUGCCCGGCCGGGGCAACCCGAGGGAAAGCGCCACAGAGAAGAGACUGCCUUGGUGUCAAGGGUUCGCCUGCGACGCACACCCAAGGCGAUGGUGAAACGGUGGGGUAAGAGCCCACCACGGACCGGGCAACCGGGACGGUAUGGCAAGCCCCACCCGGAGCAAUGCCGAAUAGGGGCCUCGCGCGGGCUGGUCCUUGAUCGCAAGGUCGGGGAUACCGCCGCAGGGACACUUCAGCCCAGAGGCCCGGGUUGGCAGCUUGAUCGCCUUGGUAACAAGAGCGACAGAGGAAUGGUCAUCCAGAGGGGGGAACCCCUUGGACAGAACCCGGCUUACAGGCCAUCCGCAUAG
rnacentral:RNase_P_RNA from 1 species